rnacentral:rRNA from 1 species
AACGUAGGACGCAAGCGUUAUCCGGAGUUACUGGGCGUAAAGGGCAGGCAGGCGGGUCGAUAAGUCGGAUGUGAAAUCCCCCUGGCUUAACCGGGAGAGUGCAUUUGAGACUGUCAACCUGGAGGGCAGCAGAGGAGCGUGGAAUUCCGGGUGGAGUGGUGAAAUGCGUAGAGAUCCGGAGGAACACCAGAGGCGAAAGCGGCGCUCUGGGCUGCACCUGACGCUGAACUGCGAAAGCCAGGGGAGCAAACGGG